GAUGAAGAACGUAGUGAAAUGCGAUAAGUAAUGUGAAUUGCAGAAUUCAGUGAGUCAUCGAAUCUUUGAACGCACAUUGCGCCCGCCAGUAUUCUGGCGGGCAUGCCUGUCCGAGCGUCAUUUCAACCCUCGAACCCCUCCGGGGGGUCGGCGUUGGGGACCUCGGGAGCCCCUAAGACGGGAUCCCGGCCCCGAAAUACAGUGGCGGUCUCGCCGCAGCCUCUCCUGCGCAGUAGUUUGCACAACUCGCACCGGGAGCGCGGCGCGUCCACGUCCGUAAAACACCCAACUUCUGAAAUGUUGACCUCGGAUCAGGUAGGAAUACCCGCUGAACUUAAGCAUAUCAAUAAGCGGAGGA
rnacentral:misc_RNA from 1 species